rnacentral:tRNA from 1 species
CUGUAGCUCAGACGGUAGAGCACUUGACUUUUAAUCAAGGUGUCCGGAGUUCGAAUCUCCGC